rnacentral:sRNA from 1 species
AACUGGUUCACUAAAUUGACUUGUAUUAAUGUCUCCAGAGUGGCAAGCGUGAACAUGCAGCCAACGCCCCGACCUAUUUCUCCACCCACACCCAGAAAGACGGCUAUAGUGACCUUCUAGCCAACACCGUUAGUUACGAACCUGUGCCUAACUGUACGGCCUCAAGACCUUAUUGUGGACCAGGUUCAUUGGUGUGCAAUGUGACGUCGGGGCGGUGUCUUCCCUCCAUAAAACAGAAGAAAAGAACGAAAAGAGA